UACGGAGGGUGCGAGCGUUGUCCGGAAUUAUUGGGCGUAAAGGGCUCGUAGGCGGUUUGUCGCGUCGGGAGUGAAAACCAGUGGGCUUAACUCAUGGCUUGCUUCCGAUACGGGCAGACUAGAGGUAUGCAGGGGAGAACGGAAUUCCUGGUGUAGCGGUGAAAUGCGCAGAUAUCAGGAGGAACACCGGUGGCGAAGGCGGUUCUCUGGGCAUUACCUGACGUGAGGAGCGAAAGUGUGGGGAGCGAACAGG
rnacentral:rRNA from 1 species